rnacentral:rRNA from 1 species
UACGUAGGGGGCGAGCGUUAUCCGGAAUUACUGGGCGUAAAGCGCACGCAGGCGGUUCGCCAAGUCUGGUGUGACAGUUGUCGGCUCAACCGACAAAGGACUUCAAAAACUGGUGAACUUGAGGACGAGAGAGGAACAUGGAACUCCAGGUGUAGUAGUGAAAUGCGUAGAUAUCUGGAAGAACACCAGUGGCGAAGGCGGUGGUCUGGGCCGUAACUGACGCUGAGGAGCGAAAGCUAGGGGAGCGAACGGG